UGAAGGAGCAGGAUCUGCUGAAGGGCAACCAGUGCAUUUUCCUGAGCCAAACUAGCCAUUUGAAUACCGGUGGAACUAGCUGGGUUGGAUAUCCCUACUGGUCCCAUGAGAAUCCAUGAAAGAAAUGAGUCCUGUUUGCCUGCUCCCUGCUCUGCUGCAACUAAGCGUCGUUGCAUCAAAAUGUCUCAAAAUUCCACAUCAGAGUCUUCACAUCUGCUGUUGUACCAUCCUGGAAGAUGAUUCCCUUCCUUCAUCUGGGUAACUCUUAGCCAGUCGUCCCAUCUCUGUCAAAGCUGUCCCCACUGUUGUCUUGUCUGGCUGGCCCCAAUCUAGUUCACCUAAGCUCCACCUUCAACAACCAGAACCCAUAGUGUUCUUUGUGGGACCUGGACCCCAAGGAAGAAGAAUGUGUGUCCCUGCACAUUCACAUGCCUGUAUUUGUGUGUGUUGGAAGGUUAGUAUGAAGUUGAAUGUGAUGCCCACAAGAGGUAAGUCAACUGAGGAAGGAACAGCACCUCCUCUGACCACUCUUGGAUGCUGUUGGACCGAUCAGGACAACACCUGUGGCUGCAAUGAGCCUGAAGUCAGUCCCUAUGUACUGGGUAACAGUAUAUAGGUCA
rnacentral:lncRNA from 1 species